AGAAUCAACGCUGGCGGCGCGCUUAACACAUGCAAGUCGCACGAGAAAGUGGAGCAAUCCAUGAGUAAAGUGGCGUACGGGUGAGUAACACGUGGAUCAUCUACCUUUUAGUGGGGAAUACCUCCGGGAAACUGGAGACAAUACCGCAUAAGCUCGUGAGAGGAAAGCCGAAAGGCGCUGAAAGAGGAGUCCGCGGCUGAUUAGCUAGUUGGCGGGGUAACGCCCACAAGGCGAAGAUCGGUA
rnacentral:rRNA from 1 species